rnacentral:rRNA from 1 species
CGCUGGCGGCGUGCCUAAUACAUGCAAGUCGAACGGUCUUUCUAUGGAAGCUUGCUUCCACUGAGAAGAUAGUGGCGAACGGGUGAGUAACACGUGGGUAACCUGCCCAUAAGAGGGGGAUAACAUCCGGAAACGGGUGCUAAUACCGCAUAGUUUUCUUGAUCGCAUGAUCGGGAAAGGAAAGACGGCCUUUGUGCUGUCGCUUAUGGAUGGACCCGCGGCGUAUUAGUUAGUUGGUGAGGUAACGGCUCACCAAGACGAUGAUACGUAGCCGACCUGAGAGGGUGAUCGGCCACAUUGGGACUGAGACACGGCCCAAGCUCCUACGGGAGGCAGCAGUAGGGAAUCUUCCGCAAUGGACGAAAGUCUGACGGAGCAACGCCGCGUGAGUGAAGAAGGUUUUCGGAAUCGUAAAACUCUGUUGUCAGAGAAGAACAAGUUGGAGAGUAACUGCUCCAGCCUUGACGGUAUCUGACCAGAAAGCCACGGCUAACUACGUGCCAGCAGCUGC